rnacentral:rRNA from 1 species
CUGACGAGCGGCGGACGGGUGAGUAAUGCAUAGGAAUCUGCCCGAUAGUGGGGGAUAACCUGGGGAAACCCAGGCUAAUACCGCAUACGUCCUACGGGAGAAAGGGGGCUCCGGCUCCCGCUAUCGGAUGAGCCUAUGUCGGAUUAGCUGGUUGGUGAGGUAAAGGCUCACCAAGGCGACGAUCCGUAGCUGGUCUGAGAGGAUGAUCAGCCACAUCGGGACUGAGACACGGCCCGAACUCCUACGGGAGGCAGCAGUGGGGAAUAUUGGACAAUGGGGGGAACCCUGAUCCAGCCAUGCCGCGUGUGUGAAGAAGGCCCUCGGGUUGUAAAGCACUUUCAGUGAGGAAGAACGCCUGGUGGUUAAUACCCAUCAGGAAAGACAUCACUCACAGAAGAAGCACCGGCUAACUCCGUGCCAGCAGCCGCGGUAAUACGGAGGGUGCGAGCGUUAAUCGGAAUUACUGGGCGUAAAGCGCGCGUAGGUGGCUUGAUAAGCCGGUUGUGAAAGCCCCGGGCUCAACCUGGGAACGGCAUCCGGAACUGUCAAGCUAGAGUGCAGGA